AAUAAGCGGUAGGAAAAGAACUAACAAGGAUUCCCCUAGUAACUGCGAGUGAAGCGGGAAAAGCUCAAAUUUAAAAUCUGGCGGUCUUUGGCUGUCCGAGUUGUAAACUAGAGAAGUGUUAUCCGCGCUGGACCGUGUACAAGUCUCCUGGAAUGGAGCGUCAUAGAGGGUGAGAAUCCCGUCUUUGACACGGACUACCAGGGCUUUGUGAUAUGCUCUCAAAGAGUCGAGUUGUUUGGGAAUGCAGCUCAAAAUGGGUGGUAAAUUCCAUCUAAAGCUAAAUAUUGGCGAGAGACCGAUAGCGAACAAGUACCGUGAGGGAAAGAUGAAAAGAACUUUGGAAAGAGAGUUAAACAGUACGUGAAAUUGCUGAAAGGGAAACGCUUGAAGUCAGUCGCGUUGUCCAGGGAUCAACCUUGCUUUUGCUUGGUGUACUUUCUGGUUGACGGGUCAGCAUCAAUUUUGACUAUUGGAAAAAGAUUAGGGGAAUGUGGCAUCUUCGGAUGUGUUAUAGCCCUUGGUUGCAUACAAUGGUUGGGAUUGAGGAACUCAGCACGCCGCAAGGCCGGGUUUUUACCACGUACGUGCUUAGGAUGCUGGCAUAAUGGCUUUAAUCGACCCGUCUUGAAACACGGACCAAGGAGUCUAACAUGCC
rnacentral:rRNA from 1 species